rnacentral:lncRNA from 1 species
CAAUCUGAUUAUCAUUCUUAUUUAGCUCCUGUUUUUCUUUACUAGCUCUAUGUGACGACCUCGAUUUGAUCGUACGCUAAUCAUACACGCAAAUGUGUACAAACAAGCUCAAGGACUCACGGGAAGAUAUCACAACACAACUCAAGACGCAAAUAAAACAAACAAGAUUCAUAUUACAAUCCAGGGGCCUCAAAGACUAGAAUACAGAAGCUUGAUAAACACAUGAGUCAGCGGAAGCAAC